AACGAACGCUGGCGGCGCGCCUAAUACAUGCAAGUCGAGCGAGAAGACGUAGCAAUACGUUUGUAAAGCGGCGAACGGGUGAGGAAUACAUGGGUAACCUACCCUCGAGUGGGGAAUAACUAGCCGAAAGGUUAGCUAAUACCGCGUACGCUUCUUGGACUUCGGUUCAGGGAGGAAAGCGAUACCGUGGGUAUCGCGCUCUUGGAUGGGCUCAUGUCCUAUCAGCUUGUUGGUGAGGAACGGCUCACCAAGGCUUCGACGGGUAGCUGGUCUGAGAGGACGAUCAGCCACACUGGCACUGCGACACGGGCCAGACUCCUACGGGAGGCAGCAGUAAGGAAUAUUGCGCAAUGGGCGAAAGCCUGACGCAGCGACGCCGCGUGGGGGAUGAAGGUCUUCGGAUUGUAAACCCCUUUCGGGAGGGAAGAUGGAACGAGCAAUCGUUCGGACGGUACCUCCAGAAG
rnacentral:rRNA from 1 species